UAAGAUGAUAGAAACAUAUUCAGACUAUGGUGUUGAAAGAUGGUGUUUUAGUGAGAUAGGAUUAAGGUCAUCAGGGAUUCUCAUGAUUGACCUCUGGUGAACUUAAAAGAAGAGGGAAUAAAACCAGAACAGAGACACAUGGACACAGACAUGUGCACCAACUGCUCUACUUUGUGGUGGGUACACCAGCAAGAAGAUCCUCACCAGGUGUGGCUUCUGAACCUCAAACCUCCAAAGCAUGAGCAAAAUAAAUCUCUAUUCUUGUAAAUCACUGUUUCAGGUGUUUUCUGUUAUUAGCAGCAGGAUAGACUAGAACAACAGGCAAUAGAUCUGUCAGAAAGGAAACAAGCCAUUUUAUUCUUCAGCUGGGGAGGAUGUUGGUGUUGAAGCCCAGUAACUGCCAUGGUUUCCAAUGCUUUGGCAAAACCUCAGAUGCGUGGCCUUCGGGUCAAGCGUCUGUGAUUUCAUAUUGUUGAGCAUUCAUUGUAGCCCUGAAUGUUGCAGCUUUCUAUAAGUUUGCUGUGGCUGAACCAAGACAGAAGGCAUCUGCAGAUUUCUACAGAAAUUAUGAUUCCAUGAAAGAUUUUGAAGUGAUGAGGAAGGCUGGUAUCUUUCAGAGUACAAAGUGAUUUUGGAAUGUAAAGAAUGGCACCAAUCCAGU